AUGUGCAACUUGUCCCGCCCGUGUGUGGAUUCUGUUGUUUUUUUUCCAGAUAAAGUCUAUGAAACCCGCUCCCCAGGGCAGGAUCUGUCGGCUGAGCAGCUCCGGGAUGUUGCACAAACUCUGGGACGGAGGUGGGAGAAGGCGGCCCUCCACCUGGGGCUGACGAACGAAGAUCUGGACGACAUCAGGGAGGAAGAGAUGGCUGAGUUCAUGCAGAGACGGAAGAUGUUGCGACUGUGGAAGAGCCGAAGACCAGGAAAGGCCACAGCACAGGACCUCUUGAGGGGUCUGGAAGGGCUGAAGGUCCUACCGGCCAAGACUCGUCUGUUAUUGGAAGGGUUUGGUGGGAAUCCGUCAUUCAGUAGCGGACAGGAAAGCCAUCCUGGUCCGAUGUCACCGUCUAAAUCCCUCCCCAAAAUACCUUCCCACAAACCUCUGAUGACGUCAGGCAGCAGCGGACAGUGGAGCUUGUCCAAGUCUGAGCUGUCCGGCCCUGUGGACUCUGAGUCCUCACUUCCAUUUUCAAUGCCUGGUAGCACGCUGGGUGAGUCCAAUGGUGAAUCUCAAUUCACCCCUUCACCCAAACCCUCACCCCUACCCCUCACUUUUUCGCGUUCACGCACAGGGUAGCGUUUUCCGAUUUUUAUUUUAUUGAGGUGUCAGUGGUAAGGGGUAAUCAGUUAAAAAGUAUAUCAUAUAAUAACAUAAUAAGAUCUCACAUCAUUUUUUUACCAAGGUCAAGUAAUGGUCCGUUGCCGUCGGUUACCUGUCGAUGGCGUCAUAUGGCCUUACCGCCUAACUUCAGGGAAACACGAAAACAGUAAUCCAGAAGAGGCCUAAUGUAUUGUUAUGAUACGUCAAUAGCAAUCUAACUUAAAAGUGUUCUCGACGCACCCAUUUUACCCGGUAUGCAGCGUUUGGUAUCUUGAAGGAACUUGGCUGCACAGAUACCCCAGAAUUCAUUUCGGCAUUCCAGCGAGGAGUGGUAAACAACAGAGAAGACCUAGAAUGCAAUGUUCUUAUUACAAUUUCCAUAUGCUAUUUCAUCACCAAAUUCACUUCUGAUUAAGUUUUAGGCAAGUAAUGAACUGUGUAGAUUUCGAAUUUUGGGGCAAGCUAGCUAGCCGGCCGGCCAGUAAAUCUCUCAGAGACCCUCUCGCCCCACGGACCACUGCAGCUAACAGGGCAGACGGCGGACUACAAUGGUUGAAGGAAAGCCGGCCAACAACUGUAUAACAUUUAUUUCAUCAAAUAAACUACAGAAGCAGUAUGAAAGGGUUAUUUUUGUUUUCAGUAGACAUUAUAUAUUUUUUGUGUACGGUUGAGGAGUAGGUUGAGCUUCAAUUGUUUUAGGUGAUAAAGCCUGGUUCCUAUUUUGGAGGACUGCAGUGCAGGCGUCCUCUGUGCUGUCACAAUACCAGCCAGAAUGCCCCGUCUCAAACUGUCUACAGCGUCCUGCGUGCUCGUGACCAUCAAGUUCAUUCUUCCAAGAACAACUAGCAAGAACGUUUUCCCCACUGAUUGUGAAAUAAAGAGUUGAUUACAUGAAUGUCCGUAAAAUAUAGUGCGGACCAAAACUAGAGAGAAGGCUCACCUCACCACCACCGCGGCCACACAGAAACAGAUGAUAGGGAGGCGAGGGGAGAGAGCUAAGAACUAAUAUAAAAUGAUGAGUGCCCUGUGACAUUCCUCCAUAGGAGUCACCAAUAAAUAGAUAAAUGAAUAAUAGAUGAGACCUGGAUGGACACAAUAACUAACAGACCGUGAUCAAAAAGGUAAAGAAACAAGUUGUAUUUUUCUGUAGGGAUCCUUUCCAUAAUGGUUAAACAUAAUGUGAGCCGGUCAGUGGUAAAACAAACACAUUAAGAGGACGUACAUCGACGGGCGCUUUGCCCAACAUGAUCACAUUGCAGAUGUUUUUUGUGGAUUACAGCUGCAGUGUUUUCAAUCAAUGCUGGAAGGAUCUUAUAAAUCGCUCUCCCCAUUAGUCACUUAGACCCAAAAUGAUAGAAAAUAGGCUCAAGGUUGAGAAAUCCCAAAAAUUUCUUUAACUCUUUGGAUCCAAAUCUAUGAUCAGCUGGUACUUCACAUAAUUCUAAACUAACGAUAAAUUCUGAUUCAUGGACUCACUUUGAUCAUUUCC
ensembl:lncRNA